GGGCCCGUAGCUCAGUCUGGUCAGAGCGCGCGACUCAUAAUCGCGCGGUCAAGGGUUCGAAUCCCUUCGGGCCCA
rnacentral:tRNA from 1 species